rnacentral:rRNA from 1 species
AUGGCGGCGACCCUCCCUCGCCGCUUGCUUCUCCUCUCCGACUUGCUCCCUCUUCCCGUCCCCAACGGAUACAUCCACAUAUGCCCCGGACGUCGUAUUCCUCCUCUGAACCGCCCGUUGUCGCUCCGUCUUGGCCAAACGGCUCCUGCCAGAAACGGCGACGUCGUACUGUGGCUCCGGCCUCCGCCGCGCAGCUUACAUCGUACGGAACCCACCGACAAGCCAGCCGGCAGAACCCGCAAGUCGCUCGACACUGGCUCGAUCAUCCUCAUCGUCUUGGCGGUCCUCGCCGCCGUGGGGCUGCUGGUGCUGGCUAUCUGGUGCAUCCGCCGGCGGAAGCAGAAGCCCAGGGCUCCAGCUGCGAUCCGUCGGCGCGAGCGACUCCCGGCCGGGACGGCGGCCGUCCGCAUUGGCGAAAGCGGCGCCGGGCGACUCCCGGCCGACGCAGAGGCCGUCCGCAUCGGAGACCGCGGCGCCGGGCGACUCUCGGCCGACGCAGCGGUCGUCCAGACGGGCGAAAGCAGCGGCGCCGGCGAGGGAGCCGGAGUCCAAGCCACCGGCUGUCCGAUGUGUGGCCGCCCGUACGACAACGAGCCGGGCAAGCGCUGGGUCGCGGUCAACCUGGCUUGCCCAGUGUGCAACACGACCCACAUCAAUCUUUUUGGGAAGACGCCCGGCGAGGCCACGGCAGGAAGGCACCGCUACUCGUUCAGCCAUCUCGAGAGCUCGAUCACCACCAAGGACGACAUCACCGUCGGCAGUUCGAGCUUCCGGCAACGAGAUUGGAGCGCGAGCAGAGCGCCCGUAUGGCAGAUUUUGACAUCGAGCUACCGCUGCGCUCCUGCUGCCGCCCUCGCUCACCCAAGCCUUUCUAUGGAUCAGCCCGAGCACCUAGAAGCUCGCCGACAACUCCCCGCGUCCACUAGCGCCGGCCACCGCCAUCCACCACCGUCCAGAACAUCGCCGUCACGGGCACGGCACCGCCCGCGACGCGUGGCUCACCUCCGAGCCACCCAGAUCCUUCCGGGCAUAGCUGCGGCUGCCGCCGACCUCACCAACUCCGCCGGCCACCACCAACCUCGCCACCGUCCUCGUUUGCCAUUAAUGGCCGCCGCCGCAAUCCACUCGGGGACGGCACCGUCCAGGCCACCUGGCGCUUCCCCGAGCCCUCCAGCUCACUCGGAGCCCAGAUGCAGAUCUCCGACCAACUCACCGACCCAACGACCUCUCCACCGUCCUCUUGUGCCAUCAAUGGCCGCUGCCGUGAGCAGCAAAACAACCGGAGGUGAUCAUCUCCCUCGUCUCCGGCAGCUUCUGCCGCCACCACCGUCCAGCCAAUUCCCACGCAACCACUGGCCCUCCAUCGCUGAUUUCUUCGCCAAUAGACUACCUAAUCCACAACAAACAUAUACCUAUCAUCAAUUCAUCUCAAAGACCACCGAGGACGAAAGCCCCCUCUCACCGCAGCUCUCCUCCGCCAUGGUUGAAGCUCUGCUCAGCCUCGAUCUCCGCGUUGGUGUGCUGAGCGCCGGUAACGGCGCCUCCUAG